GCUUGCUCUCCUUUUUCUAGGUUCUCAGGAGGAAGUUUAGGUUAUUUAUCUGAGAUUUUUUUUUAAAUACAGGCAUUGGCAGCCAUAGAUUUGCCUCUCAGUGCUGCUUUUGCUGCAUCCUGGACCUUUUGGUGUGCUUGAUUCACUCCUGAGAGGUGGAGGGCCAAACACUGAGGGUCUCUGUUCUCUAUUCAAGCCACUGUCCUUUCCUGUGUGGCAGCUGAGUGUGAUGAUGGGGCAUUCCCAGCACCUGUGAGCCCAGCCACAGCAUCACAGACGUGGGGAGCGGAGGGAUGUCCCUUCCUUCCCUUUGCUCCAUUGCCUCAGGCAUUGGGAUGAUGGCACGUGCCUCUCCAGCCCCAGAACCUGCUCUUGGCAUCUGAGACCAGCUGUUUGGCCCUCGCUCCUCUCAGGGGCGUUUGUAUUCAAGCUGUGCUGUGUGCUGUGGAACUGUGUUCUGCCAUUUAAAGCCAUUCUGGCAGCAGUGGAGGAAGCUGUCUAAUGGGGGGUGGGGUGGUGUCAGCUACGAGUCCUGGAGGAAACAUGGUCCUUUCCAUGUAAAGAACUUGAUGAAUAAAGAAUAACGAAG
rnacentral:lncRNA from 10 species